AGGUGUCUUUAAAGAGCGGGUCAAUUGAGCCUCGGAGUCCUUCUCCACCCACGUAUCAAUUUUAAAAAAUGCAACAUUAGUAGGCGUUGCCUGGAGGACCGAGAGGGCGGAGCCGCGGCAGUGACGAAGACGAUGGCUAACUAGACGAAGCUAGCUCCCUUCACUCUGAGCAGUUGAUAGAAGUGGAGGACGUUUCUCCCCCUCCUUACAGACACUCGAGAAGAAAGGGACCAAGUCUAUUUGGAGGAGACAAGCGGACCUGAGUCUUAUUGUUUUGAGCUUGUGAGUUGCCUGAAACUCCCAGAACCGACCCAACAGAAUCACCUCUGAAAGGUCCUCUGGUGUCUGCAGCUGGUCUCUGGUGUCUGCAGCUGGUCUCCUCUGCUGGUGUCCUCAGGAUCAGGAACUUCCAGAAGAAUGUGCCUUUCAAUGACUCUUUCCCCCUUAUUUGUUAUAUUAAUUAAAUAAAUCUCAAUUUAUAUA